GCACCCGUAGCUCAGCUGGAUAGAGUACUUGACUACGAAUCAAGGGGCCGUGAGUUCGAAUCUCGCCGGGUGCACCA
rnacentral:tRNA from 1 species